UGGGAACUCCUGUAAACCUCUUUCUUCAGUUAUUAUUUGAGUAAUUAAAAAAAAUGACAGCAGAUGGAGUUCCCGUCGUGGCGCAGUAGUUAACGUAUCCGACUAGGAACCAUGAGGUUGCGGGUUUGGUCCCUGCCCUUGCUUCAGUGGGUUAACAAUCCAGCGUUGCCGUGAGCUGUGGUGUAGGUUGCAGACGCAGCUUGGAUCCCGCGUUGCUGUGACUCUGGCGUAGGCCAGUGGCUACGGCUUUGAUUCGACCCCUAGCCUGGGAACCUCCAUAUGCCGAGGGAGCGGCCCUAGAAAUGGCAAAAAGACAAAAAUAAAUAAAUAAAAUUAAAAAAUGACAGCUGCCUCUAACAAUUAGGAAACAUGUUUUAUCACAUAAAAAGCCUGGAGGCUGAUUCCUGGAUUCAGAGACGUAUAAUCAAGGAACCAGAUUCUUGGGCUUUCCAUCUGCUCUUCCCAGACAGUGUUGGCUUUGUUCUUAGGUUAACUGCCUUCCCAGUACUCAGAUGACUCUUUAGGUCCAGGUGUCACUACAAACCACCUUAUUCAAGAAUAUCCCUUCUUAGAUGUCUUUUUGUGAGCGUACCUAGAAGCUUCCAGCAAACUUUCCCUGAGUAUCUCAUUAGCCAGAAUUGCUUCCAAGGUCCCUUCCUAAGCAGACUGGCAAGGAGAAUGGGAUUGUGUUGAUUAUCUUCAUGACGCUCACUGUGCUGUGCAGGAGAGGAGACGCUAGAACAACAUCUGAGGUGUGUUAGGAAGGAGCAAGGAGUCCUUGGUGGAUAGGCCGCCAGCAGUGUCUGUAACUGUCAGAUUCUCAGGGGAAGGUGUUAUCUGCCUUGUUUCUUUUAUUUCUGCCCAGCUACUUUCUUUUGGAAAACUAAGUAGAAAGUAAGGGCAUUGUCGGAAACCAUAACUUUCUUUAUAAUCACUUUGCUGCAAUACCUAAUUGUACUUACGCAUCUGAAAAGGAUAUUUGUAAGCUAGGCAUUAAGUGAGGACUAGGAAAAGUAUAAUUAUCUUUAUUCCCUUGAGCUUGGUUGUGUUUGUUGGAUCCACACCUUUGCACUUACUUGGAACAGAAGUUUAUUGAGUAAUCGCAUAAAUGUUUGCAAAACUAUUGACUUCAAGAGUAAUUUUUAAAAAGCAUUAUCAUUGAUUUUUUUUUUUAAACCAAAGCUAUCCAAAUGACAAAUGUUAAUUUUUCUCCCCUAGAUCUGGAACUUAUGUAUCUCUUGGCAGAUAGUUUUUUUUGUUUGUUUCACUUCAGUAUUUCAUGAUCUUUUUUUCUUUUUUAUUACACUGAUGCCUGAGAGUUAAAUAUAUUAAUUCUUUGUCAAUUUUUAUGAGUUUGAAUAAACUUUAUUUCUAAAAUAAAACCCUGAUUUUACUCCAUUUUCCUCAGGUCAUCUUAUACUUGUAUUUUUCCAGUUUUCCACAUCCAUAUUAAGUUAUAGAGCUCAUCAUUGUGUAUCGUACUUUUACAGAGUUUUAGCCUACAAUUAAGACCUUCAGAAUUAUUCUUAUACCAGCUUCCUAGAAUUAUUUAAUGAACCUUCUGGAAAGUACUUGAGUAACCUUUUCUUCUAGCAUUAAGGUCAUUUGAACUCAUUAUCUUGAUUAUUGAUGUAAGAAAUUACAAAGUAGAUGAUUCUCUAGGAUUAAAGAUGUGUGUGUCUUUGUGUGUGAUUAGUUUUGUUUCUCUAAGCUGGUUUAAAGCACUUCAUGCCAAAAUCUAUUUGCUUUUUAAAAUUGAUUUUUAGAUUAAUGUUUAGUUUCUUAGGAGAGUUACUUGGUGUUGUUAUAAUCUGUUUAAGAAGUAAUACUGUAGUCAUUGCUAAAUAAGGCUUCAGUUUUGUAUUAUGUUUUUAUAUAUAUUUUCUAGUGACAGUAGUGCCCAUAAAGAUGGUAGAAUGUACAGAUCGACUUUCAGUGAGCUGUAUUUACCUCAAAAUUUUAUCUUUUGAUUCUCAUAGUUUCCACAUUUUAUUUUCUGUUAACCAUCCUGCCUGGUAGCACUGUCUUCUUUUCCGUCACCUGAACCAGAAACCCAGGGAGACUUAGAUUCCUCUUUCAUCUCCUCCAUAAGGAUUUCUUAAUCUUGUUACUGUUGCCAUCUUAGGCUGGAUGAUUUUAGUUGCAGGGAGCUGUCCUGUGCAUGGUAGAUGUUUAGCACCAUCCCCUGACUUCUUCCCGCUAAAAACCCAUAGCAAGCUCCCUUGGUUGUAACCACCAGAAAUGUCUCCAGGCAUGGUGAAAUGUCCCCUAGGAGACUCACUCUGUUUUGAUGAACCACUGCCCUGCAUCCAAACUGGUACUUAAUCUUACUGACUCUGCUUUCUAAAUUUACCUUAAUUCCUCUUCCUGUUUUCAUUCCACUCCCUAACCUCCUAACCUUUUAUUUAUCUGUUUUGUAGUACUUGACAUCCUUUAUAAGGUUGUGACCAGUGUCCCUGUGCCCAGGGUAGUUGCCCUCCAGUCCAUCCUCUUCAGGGCUCCCAAAUUUCUCUUUCUAAAAUGCAGAGCUGUUUCUCUCUCUAAGUAGUUUCCAGCAGAUACCCUCAUGAACUGGAGCCUCUCUUGAUUUCUAGCCUCAUUCUUCAAAGGGACUUACUGAGGUUCUUGCUGCACAUGCCCUCUGACCCCUGCGCUAUGCUUUGUUUCAACUCUCCUUAGGCAUCGAUUUCUCCAUCGUAGCCUUUACUCACUUAUUUUCAGAGAAUCAAUCAUGGUGAGGAAUAUUUGACUUUUUGUUUUUUAGGGCCUCACCCUCAGCAUAUGGAAGUUUCCAGGCUAGGGAUCGAAUCAGAGCUACAGCUGCCAGCCUACACCACAGCCACAGCAAUGCAGGGUUCGAGCCAUGUCUGUGACCUACACCACAGCUUACAGCAACACCAGAUCCUUAACCCACUGAGCGGGGCCAGGGAUUGAACCUGCAACCUCAUGGUUACUAGUCGGAUUGUUUCUGCUGUACCACAAUAGGAACUCCAAGAACAUUUUACUUUUUAACAUAUCUUUCUUCCCUCACCAUAUCAAACUUGUCAAGGACAAAGACCAUCUCUCUGUUUUUUGCAUGUUAGAGAUACUCAGUAACGGUUUGAAUCGUUUAUUUGUAUGCCAUAGUUAGACAUAGUAAUAUCCUCGUUAGUUCCAGGACUUCUAUUCCCUGUAUCAACUGUAAGAUUAUUUUCCUAGUCUUAAUCAAUCAGAUGUUGAUGGCUAGGCUUUUGACCACAGAAAUCUUGAACUGUAACUUUCUUUAAGAAAUCAGCCAUUCAGAAGUGCUCUUGUGGCACAGCAGGUUAGGGAUCCAGUGUUGUCACUGUAGCGGCUCCAGUUGCUGCCGUGGGCAGGUUUGAUCCCUGGCCCAGGAGCUUCCACAUGCCGUGGGCACAGCCAAAAAA
rnacentral:lncRNA from 1 species